CUGCGGGCUAGGUCGGGAGGCUAGCCGUCUCCUGUCGCCGACAAUCGGCUUACGUCGGGACCGAACGCCGGGGAGCGGCUGCGGUUGCGGCUGCAGGUCUUGGCCUCGCCUAUGAGGCUCUGUCCUGCCGGAUUGCAGGGCGCGAAAAACAUGUCAGGCCGGGAACGGAGCAGCAUUCAUCGCGCGCUGUGGUGCUGGCAGGGGUGCGGAGCCGAGAACAGGUCAGGGUUCGCCUGCAUCUGCUGCCGGAGCUCAUCCCCGGAAGCCCGCAC
rnacentral:SRP_RNA from 1 species